rnacentral:rRNA from 1 species
UACAGAGGGUGCGAGCGUUGUCCGGAAUCACUGGGCGUAAAGGGCGCGUAGGCGGCCUGCUAAGUAGAGGGUGAAAUCCUGCGGCUCAACCGCAGGGCCGCCUUCUAAACUGUCAGGCUGGAGCACGGUAGAGGCAGAUGGAAUUCCCGGUGUAGCGGUGGAAUGCGUAGAGAUCGGGAAGAACACCAGUGGCGAAGGCGGUCUGCUGGGCCGUUGCUGACGCUGAGGCGCGACAGCGUGGGGAGCAAACAGG